AGCGAACGCUGGCGGCAGGCCUAACACAUGCAAGUCGAACGAACUCUUCGGAGUUAGUGGCGGACGGGUGAGUAACACGUGGGAACGUGCCUUUAGGCUCGGAAUAACUCAGGGAAACUUGUGCUAAUACCGAAUGUGCCCUUCGGGGGCAAGAUUUAUCGCCCUUAGAGCGGCCCGCGUCUGAUUAGCUAGUGGGGGAGGUAAAGGCUCACCAAGGCGACGCUCAGUAGCUGGUCUGAGAGGAUGGGCAGCCACAUUCGGACUGGGACCCGGCGGAAACUCCUGCGGGAGGGGGGAGUGGGGGAUCUUGCGAAAUGGGGGAAAGGAUGACGCAGCCAGGCCGGGUGAAUGAUGAAGGUCGGAGGAAUGUGAAAUUCUUUCACCGGGGGCGGUAAUGACGGUACCCGGAGAAGAAGCCCCGGCUAACUUCGUG
rnacentral:rRNA from 1 species